rnacentral:rRNA from 1 species
ACUCCUACGGGAGGCAGCAGUGGGGAAUAUUGCACAAUGGGGGAAACCCUGAUGCAGCCAUGCCGCGUGUGUGAAGGAAGGCCCUUCGGGUUGUAAAGCACUUUCAGUAGGGAGGAAGGUAGUGUAGUUAACACCUGCAUUCAUUUGACGUUACCUACAGAAGAAGCACCGGCUAACUCCGUGCCAGCAGCCCGCGGUAAUACGG